rfam:Botryotinia fuckeliana BcDW1 unplaced genomic scaffold Scaffold_87, whole genome shotgun sequence.
AUCCGAGUGCUGGAAUUGGUAGACAGGGCAAACUUAAGCUUUGCUGAUGCAAGUCAUAAAGGUUCAAGUCCUUUUUCGGAUA